UCUAGAACUUGCUCUAAGAAGUGCUUAGAUUGUAACUCUUUAUAACAUGUUGGAACUACUCUUUUGUUUAGUGUUAAGUAGUUUUAAUGUUUAGUAAUACUUAAUGUUUGAUGUUUAGUAAACAUGGUUAUUCCUAAAUUUUUAAUGUUUAGUAAUACUUAAUGUUUAAUGUUUAGUAAACAUGGUUAUUCCUAAAUUUUAUGGUGUUGAGGAAGGCGCGACCAGGAGGUGUCACGACUCCUCGACGAGGUGCGACUCAAACCCUGUAUUAGCACGGAUUGGUUAU
rnacentral:lncRNA from 1 species